CUUGCCGCGCCCGACGACCCUGCGGUAGGAUGGGGACGUGAUUCUAUAUGUUCUCUGCAUAUAUUUUUUUUUGGACAUGAGUGAGAACAGGAGCCAGGAGACGGGGAAACAGAAUCCAAGAUGAUGUUCAAAGUUCAAUUCGCAGCCUGUGCAUUCUUCUACCUCGACCUUUUUUUUUUCCCCUCAACAGUUCUUGGUACGAGAGGCGGACUUGAUUGCAGAUCACUUCAGGUUGUCCCCCCAACCAGCUACAAUUGGAGUAGACGAGGUACCACUAUCCUGGGACAGUGGGACCCCAUACCCACUCAUUUGGGUAUUUAGAUAUAUUCCUAAAUAUUCUUUAUAUCCUUUUUCACUACAUGUCAUCCUCUAGAAAUUACUUGUAUUUGAAACGAUAACUUCCUGUAAGACUAUCAAUAGCUUCUGUUUAGUCUGAAACAACUGAGGAAUAAGAUGUGCCAACUGCCAAACAUGAUUUUUGGUUUGUUAUCUGCUUAAUCUUUAUUUUGCCAACUGCCAAAUAAGAUGGCCUAUUAUCUGCUUAAUCUUUAUUUACCUUUCUUAUUGCUUACUAUUCUGAUGGAUUAUCUAUCUCACUGUACUUAUGCAAGACUCAUAAGGUUUUUGGUUUGUCCAUCUUGCUCUAAGAGAGAUAUUUUGUUUGUCAUCA